GCAGAAUUCCAGGUCUUGGCAUCUGUGUUUCAAGCAGGAGGGAGAAGGAAAAGGGUUAGGGUUGGUGGGUAGGCUCAGUGCGUAGGUAGGAUGCUUGCCUCAGACACACAAGGCCCCCAACACAACCCAAGCUGGCAGUGGUGAGAUAUAAAUGCCACUUGGUGUCAUGGUUAGUUUUUGUCAACUUGACACAAACCUAGACACACCAGGGAAGAAGAACUCUCAACUGAGGAAGAACCUUCAUUGGAUUGGCCAUUGGUAUCCCUACUCUAUUCUGCCAGGUAGUGGAAAUGUAAUCUCAGUCAUCAAAACAAUACAAAGCCAACCGACCGACCGACCACCAACCAACCAAUCAACCAACCAACCAAUCAACCAAUUGAAAAACAGCAGUGCUAUGUAAAGUGCAUGUAGGUGCCUUUGAAGGCCAGAAGAAGACGUCGGAUUCUGAGGAGCUGGAGUUACAGAUGGAUGUUAGCUGCCUCACAGAGAUGCUGGGAACCGAACUCAGGUGCUUUGUAACUUGGCCAGUGAGUGGCAAGGGCACCCUUAGUGCCUUCCAUAGGAUUUGUACAGCAAGGACCUGUGGUACUUCCCCUCCGACACAGACAACAGAAGCCACAGUGAGACACAGACAACAGAAGCCACAGUGAGACACAGACAACAGAAGCCACAGUGAGACAUCAGCUGCACUGGACACAACUGGAGUCUGCUUCUCCCAGAGGAGGGGAUUUUCUAAGAUGCCAGAUCCCCUUACCUCCUGUGGAAUGCACAAUCAGUGUUAACAAUGGCAAUUAGACUCUGUGCCAUCUGGAUGGCCUGGGCAAGCGGAGCUGCACAGUGGCUGGCAGAAGGCAGAAGUUGAGCCAGGAUCAUAGAGGCAGCUUCUUUCUGUGGAGCUGGACCAUGACCAUUACAACCAGGAACAACUGCUGCUCAGUUCAUUGACUCAAGAACCACCCGAGUGUCAUGAUGGGAGUCCUUAAGAAAAGAGUCUUCUCUCUUAAUGGGUCCAACUUCAUAGGUCCUGAUGGUCACAGGCCUGGCUCUCCAUUCAGAACAGGUUGGUUCUGUGGUUCUUGCCUGAGUUUCCAGCACAGUGUAAGGUGGGAUAGUAAAAAGUUUCUCCUGCGAUGUUGCAAGGAGGGUUCCAUGGGAAAUCUCGGUGCUCACUCCGCAGAUGACUGAUACUUUGUUAGACUGGAGAGUUACUAGUUCUAGGGAUGGGAACUGGUUUGGGGCUGUGAAGAGACUGGGUUUGCUCUUUGCCCAGAGGACCCUUUCCAGAGGGAGGGUUUUGAACAUGGGAUGAAAGGAAGGUUAGACUUAUAUUCUCAGCCUGAAUUUUUUUUGGGGGGGUGUGCUGGACAGUUUUAUGUCAACCUGCCAUAAACUCAAGUCAUUUGAGAGGAGGAAACCUCCACUGGGAAAACGUCUCCACAAGUCCUGGCUGUAAAGCAUUUUCUUACUUAAUGAUGGAUAGGGGAGGCCCUAGAACAUUGUGGGUGGUGCCAUCCAUCCUUAGAUCAGUGGUCCUGGGUUCUACAGAGAAGCAGGAUGAACAAGCCACGGUGAGCAAUCCAGUAAGCAGCAUACCCCACGUUCUCUGCAUCAGCUCCUGCCUACAGGUUCCUGCCCUGCUUGAGUUCCUGUCCUGACUUCCUUCAGUGAUGAACAAUGCUGUAGAAGUGUAAGCAAAACAAACCCUUUCCUCCUCAACUUGCUUUUUUGGUCAUGGUGUUCCACUGCAGCAGUAGAUACCCUAACUAAGAUGGGGGAGGGGAGGAAGGUGUUCUAACUAAGCACCAGAGUGGGGGUUGAAGUGAAACUAGGUGCUUUCGUAUGAUUUUUUUUUAGGAGAGUUUGGGAAGAGACAAACCCAUCAGUGGUAACUUGGUGGCUUGGUGACUUAGCCACUUGGUGUUAAGCUGUUGUUCCCCUUCAUUCACUUGGCUAUUUCCCCCUGCUCCACACUGGGUGUCCUUAGGAUGGCAGAGGCCAUCAGAUUGCUUUCCCAAAGUCCUCCAGUACUCCUGCUUUGCCAGGGACUGUCCUGGCUAGCACAUGCC
ensembl:lncRNA LOC108352947 uncharacterized LOC108352947